CCUACGGGAGGCAGCAGUGAGGAAUAUUGGUCAAUGGGCGUAAGCCUGAACCAGCCAAGUCGCGUGAGGGAUGAAGGUUCUAUGGAUCGUAAACCUCUUUUAUAAGGGAAUAAAGUGUGGGACGUGUCCUAUUUUGUAUGUACCUUAUGAAUAAGGAUCGGCUAAAUCCGUGCCAGCAGCCGCGGUAAUACGGAGGCUCCGAGCGUUAUCCGGAUUUAUUGGGUUUAAAGGGUGCGUAGGCGGCUUUUUAAGUUAGCGGUGAAAGUUUGUGGCUCAAACCUAGAAUUGCCGUUGAAACUGGGGGGCUUGAGUAUGUGUGAGGCAGGCGGAAUGCGUGGUGUAGCGGUGAAAUGCUUAGAUAUCACGCAGAACCCCGAUUGCGAAGGCAGCCUGCCAGGCCAUGACUGACGCUGAUGCACGAAAGCGUGGGGAUCAAACAGGAUUAGAUACCCCAGUAGUC
rnacentral:rRNA from 1 species